rnacentral:rRNA from 1 species
UACGUAGGAUGCAAGCGUUGUCCGGAAUUAUUGGGCGUAAAGAGCGCGCAGGCGGUAUGACAAGUCAGAUGUGAAAGAGGCCGGCUUAACCGGCAAGGGUCAUUUGAAACUGUCAGACUAGAGUGCAGCAGAGGAUAGUGGAAUUCCCGGUGUAGUGGUGAAAUGCGUAGAUAUCGUCUGGAACGCCGAAGGUGACAACAGACUGCUGGGGAUGCGCUGACGCUGAGACGAAAGCCAGGGGAGCGAACGGG